rnacentral:lncRNA from 1 species
GGCAGUCCAGCCGCAGGGGCCACCCGAACAGUCUCUCCUCCUCACAGAAGCCUGGAGCUGGGCAUCCAAGAAGAAGCAGCCUCAUUUGUUUUCUGGUGUCAUCGUAGGUGGCCACCUAUGGCUUUUGGGCUUCUCACCUGGGGCGGGUGGGUUCUGCACCACCCUCCCACCCUCCUUCCUCCGUGUGGACGAUAGAGCCACAUCCAGCACCACGGACAGCUCCCGGGCGAUCCCAUGGGAGUAGAAGAGGUGUGAGCAGGUUGCCCAGCUGGUUAGCGGAAAUGCCAAGAUCCAGGCUCCUGAAUUUCAGCCUGGCCCUUUCUAUCUGUCUGAUACCUCCUUUACGAGUCUCUCUGCCUGCGUUGUGUGGAGCGGGCCUGCUGCUGGUUGGGGGAGUUUGCAGGUUGCCCCUAUGCAAAAAAGGACAGGAUGCAUGACUGGCAUGUAAGGUGUUCAGGAAAACCAGGAAAAGCCUUCAUCUCCUCGUCCUCCAGGCAGCACAAGCCAUUGUGGAAUCUCCACCAGGUGUACAGAACGGUGCCUCUGCGUCCUGCCACUCAGGACCUCUCAAGUCCCCGAUGUGAUGGCUCCUCAGCAUGAUCAGGAGAAAUUCCAUGAUCUUGCUUAUUCCUGUCUUGGGAAGUCCUUCUCCAUGUCUAACCAAGAUCUAUAUGGCUAUAGCACCAGCUCUUUGGCUCUUGGCUUGGCAUGGCUAAGUUGGGAGACCAAAAAGAAGAAUGUACUUCAUCUGGUUGGGCUGGAUUCCCUCUGAUAAGCCUUCCCAGUUGACUGAAAGAUGAGGCUAGGCUCUAGCAAGUUGAAGUCAAACCAGCUCCUUCAAGAAGCUUUGAGCAGAAUGAAGUGGGGAGGACCCAGCUUCCAGCCCAGGAAGCCCACUGUACCUGGAGCCAUCUGGGAUAAGACUUUGACCCAUGACUCCCAUAUCCACAGCCUGUCCAUCCUAGCCCAUCCCAGUUUAUCCUGUAUCAUUUGAGCUGGGAUUCCCACAUCCUCUGAGUUGGAAGUCCCAUCUCAAGUCUUCAAUAAAGACUCUUGAAUAUUGAAUCACA